UCGUGUGGACCAAGUAACGGGAGAACUAUUGGGAGAAUCGAGUUCCAAGAGUAGGUUCUCAUUCUCUGCCAGAAAUUGUCAACUGAUUUGGUAACCUUGCAUAAGCUCCCGUGGACCUAUGUGGAGUCGUUAUUUUAGAUCGUAGCUCACCUGCUCGAAGAAAUAUUUUUAAAUUAUAAGUGCCAAGAAGUAUUUUACCAAGAAUCAACCUAUUGAACCAAGAGAGAUUCAAUGAUUUCCAGCUUGCUUUGGGAUUUAGGCAACCUAAUCUCCAGUCUCUAACUGGCUUUGCAAUAUAUACGGUCUCUUUUUAUUCCAUAUGAAGUCCUCUCAAAUCCUGUACAUUAUGGAGUUCCAGACUUUAAUUUUAUCUAGAAGAUUCAGGCGAACUCCCUCAGGUUGGGAUGUUUCAAUGUUGACAUCCAGGAGUAAAGACGAAAUAGAGAACUUGAGAGGUGGAAAUUUUGCCUUAAGAGCUGACUCCUCGGAUGUGAGGACCACUGUUUUUUUAAGAUUAACUUCGACUCCAGAGUUUUUAUGAAACCUCUCCAGUGUGAGAAAUACCUCUUUUAAUCGAGUUUGUUAAGGUCUCGUUAGAGCUCUCCAUGAUAGUUGUGAGGUCAUCUGGAUACCAUAGUGAUUUAUAAACUUUAUCAACAUAUUGAAAAUCCUUAAUUUUUUUAUUUCCCAUUAUUCCCGGUGAAGACAUCUAACGACAAUUCAAAACAGUGAUGGGGUUAGACUAUCCCCUUGUCGACACUUCCUUGUGCUAAGAAAACAUAUGCCCCCCACCCCCCUAACACUCCUAAGAAUAGUGGCAAUCAUUCUUACAGACUUGUGUGGAAAAGAUACUUCGAGCAAUUCCCGGAGAAUGAAUCGGUGGGAGACAGUGUCAAAAGGGAGACCCGACAUCCCAGGUCUGGCAUCCCUACGAAUAAAGCUCCACCACCUUGAAGAGUUCUCGAGACACCAUCUAUGCCAAAAUAUAUAACAUAGCCUGACUCGUCCAGUCCCCAUAUCGGUACAGGUUUUCAUAGAAGUCAGAAGCCGUUUUAGAGACCAGUCUAGCGUCAUUGGUUACUGAUCCAUCCGAUAAUAUCAGCGAGUGCAAUUUUUUUCAUUCCGAAAAUACUUCCUGGUUUUUAUCAUUCCCUUUACCAUUUAUAUUAUACUUUAUUAGCUACGCCUUGGCUCUGAUUAAAUCUUUUUCUAUUUUUAUUCUCAAUUAUUCUUUGUAGCUCUGCGUUCGUCUCUGUUUAGAGUAAAGGUGUCUUCAAAUUAUACAAGCUGUUUUAUAAGUCUUUAACUAAUGUCUUCACCAUACAUUUAACUUUCAAUACAAUCAAUUGAUAGUUCUUAUUUAUAUUACUUUCUAUUUAUUCAGGAUAUUUAUGAUGCUAUUAAAAAAGUCAAUAUAUUGUUCAA
rnacentral:lncRNA from 1 species